ACGGAAGGCAGCAGUGGGGAAUAUUGCACAAUGGGGGAAACCCUGAUGCAGCGACGCCGCGUGAGUGAAGAAGUAUUUCGGUAUGUAAAGCUCUAUCAGCAGGAAAGAAAAUGACGGUACCUGACUAAGAAGCCCCGGCUAACUACGUGCCAGCAGCCGCGGUAAUACGUAGGGGGCAAGCGUUAUCCGGAUUUACUGGGUGUAAAGGGAGCGUAGACGGCUUUGCAAGUCUGAAGUGAAAGCCCGGGGCUCAACCCCGGAACUGCUUUGGAAACUGUAGAGCUAGAGUGCAGGAGAGGUAAGUGGAAUUCCUAGUGUAGCGGUGAAAUGCGUAGAUAUUAGGAGGAACACCAGUGGCGAAGGCGGCUUACUGGACUGUAACUGACGUUGAGGCUCGAAGGCGUGGGGAGUAAACAGGAUUAGAUACCCUGGUA
rnacentral:rRNA from 1 species